AAAAAGUGCUUUCUUAGUUCUCCAAGUAAGAAAGAAAGACUGAAGUGGGUUGAAUGUCUGCGUGAUAAACCCCUAUUAACUUCAGUAGGGAUGGCACCAAGUUCAAGAGGCUGAAGGAGAGACCCAGAGCCAACAAAUGAGAUAUAGGGUUUUAUUAGGAGAAACUUACAUACAGGGAUGAUGCAGUAGCCAUGUGCUGGACAGAAGAACCACCACUGCAUGCAAAAAGCAUGCAGUUUAUAUAGCAUUUUCACUUCACUCCCUCCUCCUAACAACCUCCACCUGGCAACCUUCAUUUAACGCAAAACAAAGAGCCUCACUCCCCUGUAUGCUGAUGUUCCACAGGAAGGGCCCAGAGCUCAGAUGUUCCUCACAGACAAGGAAUUUAUCUCUGGGUUGGGCACGCUCUGAACUCCAAACACAUAUUCAGGUGCAACUGCCAUACAGGAUCAUCCUCAGGGUAUGCUCAAGUUAAAUUAUUGCUGUCGGGUGUGUCUACCAUAUACCAUCAUACCACAGGAUCAGCACAACUGAACCUGAGUGUAAAGAGGAAGAAGGCUAAGCAGAGUUGUGACUCUCCAACUGCAUUGGAGGAUUUUUAGGGAAAGGGCAUGAAGAACUUGAAGGUAUAGCUUUAUUCUAAAAUACUCCUCUCUAUAUUUUUUUCUCAUGGGGAGCAAAGAGCCAGUCUGAAAUGGAACUAUUAUUUUACAGAUAAAUAGAGGAAAGUUAUGCCUUAAGAGCAGAUAGAAAGUCCUGCGUUACUGGAUAUGAGGGCAUAGCAUCAUAUCGUUUACUCAGCAAACAUUUAUUACUCAGCACUAGAACUAGCCACAAUACAUAAAUUAAUUAAAAGCUAUGACCCUUUUCCUCAAGGAUCUACAAUCUAAUUGGAAAGACAGAAGGACAAGAGAAGCACAAGAAACAGCAAAAGCCAUAUGUUUGCUUCUAUCUUUAGGAUAAGAAAUAAUAGCACAAAAGCAUAGGGUUUCAGAGCCACAGGGACUGAGAUUUUCGAUUCUAGCCCCUCUUUUAAGAGGUGAGGAAAUGGGAUCAAGUCCUGGCAAUGAUGAGGUCAAUUCCUCAACUCCCACAGGAGGACCCUUCCUGCUUUGUUCCGUGUUGUUAAAAAUGACAAAGGUACAACGUACGAAACAAUACUUCGCGGCCAGAGGGAAGAACUGUAGUCAGGGAAGACUUCCUGGAGCUGGUAAGAAUUGAGCUAGGCCUGCUACUUGAAUUGUUAUGUGUUCCCAUUGCUACAGAAGAUCUAAACAUUUUGGAUCUGAGCAAGCAUUUCCCUGCCGUGUGAUUCACUGUGCUGCCCUGUGGUUGCUAUCAUCGUCAAACAGAAGGCUGACUGACAAAGAGGCCUCUAAAUCAAGGGGAGAAAAUCCUCCAGAGGAUACACUAAUUAUAGGUUAAAUAUCAGAGCACACAGUAUUCUGCCUUGGAAGAAAAUUUCCAUUCUGCAAGACAAGACUAUGACAAACAGGCAUUUUCUCAAAAUGACUAAUGCCUCAAAAGAAGGCAGAAUGAGAAACUUGAUGCUGUGUAUGGUAUUUCUGUGAAACAUCACCCCCCUGUUUGGUGGAAUAUUUAACUGCAUUUCAGUUUUCCUGAAGUCUGAAUAUCACAUUUGAUGCUGUUGCAAAGUCUCACUGGUGAGAACUGAAAUUGCAUGCUAACUUCACAUUUGGGGUGGGGAAGUGGGGUCCUCCCCUGAAACAGGUAAAUGAGAACUGGGAGUGCAUUACUCAGUUAGGCAGGUCUAUGGUUAUCAAUCAGAGGAGAAUAGUCAGUAUUUGCUAAAAGACAAAAAUCCCCAAGAAGGUAGGAUGGAGAGCUUUUGAACAGGAAGCUGAGUCUCCCUUUGAAAUGAGUAACGGGAAUAGAGUCUGUGUAAAAAGCAAGAGACCACAUGGCUACUGGACGACAGGGCAGCUGCCAUCUUGCCAGAGAUCCUGGGGCAAGGUUGGAAAGAUAAACAAGUGAGCCUGAUCUUUAGACAAAGCUGUCAGCACCAAAGGUCCACAGUAAGCUCAAGUGAAGGUAGGACGGAAAUGGAAAGGGAAGAACAUUGCAUUUCCUGAAGCCUGACACUGGGCAGGAAACUUGGGGAUAAAGAACAUCUACUUUUCUCACCCAGAGAAGACUCAAAGAAAGUAAAGAAGGUGACAAAAGAAAACAUAUAGGGUGGUGGUUUGAAGCCAAAAUAUCACAUCUCUGAGCAAAUGGGACAGAAUCUACCUCUAGAGUUAAGACGUGUGCACCAGUGUGGCUGGAGAAAGUCCCUAUGCAAAAACAAGGCCCAGGAUCAGAGACCCCCAGUAAGGCAGAGAGCUGCAAUAUGUAACCCUGUAAUGCCCCAGGGUUGCAGCCUCAGUGAAACCUGUCAACCAGGAACCUCUUUACCCUCUAUCUCUAAGCCCUUGGUCAAUAUGAAAUAGUUUGAAAAGCCCAGACUAACUGACUAUGUUCUUAGGGAAGGAGAUGUGGUAACAAAAAUUCUAGAUCCUCAAGCCCUGCUUGUCUGGGGACAAGUGGAGAGCCACAGUGAGGAGGAACAGAGGAAAGGAGACUAUACUAUAGACAAAAGGCAGAAUCAGUCUGGGAGGAGGAAAAAGAGAGAGAGAUGUAAAAGUGCUAAACAAAUGACAUGAAGUUAGAAGGGCCAAGUGAACCAGGCCAGAGCCAAGUAGCAGGUCAAGAUGGGGCACAGAUUCAAGGUAAAGAGAGGUAUCUCCAAGAAAAAGUCACUGAAGGCAUACUGACCGAGUUGGCUGUUUUAUUCUUGUUCUUGGCACCUCCUUCUUAUGUUUAAGCUACGCUUUCAAACUGUCCUACGGCAUUUGACAAAGAAUGGGGAUAAGGUUGCCCUCUGCUGGACACAGUGGCAGCCAAGAAGAUGUCAAUUUUGUGUCCGAGAAUUAAGGCAGUCUUAAGGAUUGUUAACUGGUGGCCCCAAGUCAUCACCUUCUCCCUCCUCCUGGCUUUCUUUUUUCUUUGGUUGAGUUUUUAUAAAAAGCACCUUGCAAUUAACCAGAUAUUUCUCCAGGCAACUCCACCCAUGUGACACAGUCAGGGCACAGAUAAACACAGCCCCAGCAACUAGCUUAUCAGAUUGUUAGUCUAUGUUCAAAUGCCACCCUUUAGUUCAAAGGGCUGGAGAAGGUGUGGUCCCUGGGAGAUCACACCUUAAAUGGUUAGAAAGGUUAUUGUGGGGAAUAAAUGAGUUAAUUCAUGUCUAGUAUUUGGUAUAUAGCGAACAAUUGAUAAAUGUCAGCUCCCUGGGCCAGACACUGUACUAGUUGCUGGGUAUACAGUCAGUCAGUCCAUUGGAGGAAGAUAGCUGUGGUACACCUAUUGAUAAUUAGCAGUAUGAGUGCUACAUAAGUGUCUUACUCCAUUUUGCACUGCUCUAUCAGAUGACCUAAGACUGGGUAAUUUAUAAAGAACAGAAAUGUACUUUCUCACAGUUCUGACGGCUGAGAAUUCCAAGAUCAAGCCUCCAGCAGGUUCAGUUGUCUGGUGAGGGCUGCUCUCUACUUCCAAGAUGGCUCCUUCAGAGGAGAGGAAUGCUGUGUCUUCACACAGUGGAAGGCCAAAAGGCAAGAAGAGACUAACUGCCUCUCCUUCAAGCCUGUUUAUCCAGUACUUAAUCCUUAAUCCCAUUCACCACGGAGAGGCUCUCAUGACCUAACGACCUCUUAAAGAACCCACCUCUUAAUACUAUCACAAAGCCAGCACCUGAAUUUUGGAGGAGACACAUUCAAACCACAGCAACAAGGAAAUGUUAAUGUGCAAUGGCUCCCUCAGUUAGAUUUUAAUAAUACUGUGCUCAUUAGUUAGCUACUUUCUCUCAGUUGAUUCCUACCACUGAGGACAAAUUUCUGUUUGAUAGUAGAUGCCCUGAUCAGAACUUUCAAAGUUCUGAGGGGAAGGGAAUUUCUGGGGUCUGGCAAUUCAGCAAAAGCAAAGAGCUUUGGCAUUUUCAAGUUCAUGCCUUUGGGUAAUUUUUUUAAUGUCUGGCUCAUUUCUUUGAUUCGAAAAUCAAUUUCCAUUUUGACAAACAGUCAUGGUCUGCUUCUUAGUCCAGGCUUAAAUGCCCAGGGACACAUGAAUUGUAUUUCUUCCCAUGAUCCUACUUGCCACCCUUCCCUGAAUUAAAUCCACAAUUCUCAUUUGUAUGCAUUCUUCUCCCUACAAGGAGAAGGAAUAGAGAGUACCCAGCCAUCCUCUAACAGAAAUGAACAAUCUGUUCCACAGUGCAUGAUCAUUACAUGCUCAGGACUAUACCAGAACUGGGGUUGGGGCUAAGAGAGUGCAAAUCAAACAGAAGACAUUAUAUUCAUCCACAAGAAACUUAUCAGCUUCUGGGGUAAUACCAAACUUACACAUAUGAAAGAUUUAGAGAAUCAGAUGAGAUUGAUUUCAUUGAUUCAUUCAAAAACUUACUAGGUAUUUACUGUGAAUGGUGCCACAGCAAAUGCCUAGGGAAAACAAUGCCUGGAAUGAGACAUUUGCUUUCAUGGGAUUUAGAAAGAAGUAUUAGAAUAGACAUGGACAUAAAUAAUAAUAAUUUAAGGCUGAAAAGUAUAAGCACUAGAAUAGCGCAGACGAAGUAAAUAAUUCUAACUAGGAGCAAGAGUUUCACAUGAGAGAUGAUCCUUGGGUCUUAAAGAACAAAAGGGGUAUUGACAGAAAAUGCAGGCAAGAGGCAUUCCAAGCGGAGGGUACAGUAGCCUUUUGAGGAAGUUCAUUGGUAUAAAAUGCAAGGCUCAUCUAGGGAUAUGAGUAGAACAGAACAAUGCAGUUAUAAUAGAGAUGGGGUGAGAGUCUGGCUGGAACAUCUUUUCAGAACCCAGAAGGUCUUGCUGGUAAGUUUGGGCUUUCUUAGCCACAUUAAACUGAGGUUCAUGAACAAGGAUAUAACACAAUUAGAUAUUUGCUUUAGAAAAUAAAGUGGCACCACAUUAGAGAGUAGAUUAGAGGGAAGGAGUGAAUUCAUUUAGGAAGAAUACAGUCUGAAUUAAUGAAAUAGAAAGGGAAAGAUGAUGAUUGUAGCCCUGGAACUUGAAGACAAGUCAAGAGUGUUGAAAGAAAAGAGAAGAGGUCACCAAUGGAAUCUUAGGCAAACUUAAAUUUAAUAGAUGGGCCUGUAGCUAAAUGUUUGUGAACAUAAAAAUCUUUUAUCUUCACUACCCAACUAAAAUCUCUCUCAAAGGACCCUAAAGGCCUUUAAGUUGCCGAUUCUGUGUUCCCUUUUUAGUUCUCAUUGUAUUCAACCUCUCUGUUCAAGAGGUCACUAAUGACCAUCAUUACCCUGGUUUCUUGAAACAUUCUGUUUCAUUGCCUGUAGUGAUGCUACAUCUCUUAGUUAUUCUUUUACUUUUCUGACUACUCUCGCUCAUUUAUUUUCAUUACCAGGUGGAAUAAGAUGACAAGGGCAGAGGAGAUAGGGUAUGCAAAGACAAGGAGAAGCGAAAAUAGAACUGAUAGCUUUUAUGUGCACAGGCUUAGAACUUGCUCCUGAACAACUACUGCCUUUGCCUAGUAGCUCAAAUUUAUAAAUUAAGUAAUAUAGAGGGAAUUUGCCUACUACGGAGAAGGCCGUCCCUAUUCUUGGAGACCCACAAUCCCAAACAAGUCUGUAGAUUCUGCUCAAAAUGAGUGGUUGCAACUAUAAUGUGCAUAGCUGGCAUUAAGUAAAAAUUUUAAAUGCAAGAAAAUCAGCAAAAACUACUCAAUAAAAUUUUCAACUGAUUAUUGCUAAUAAUUCUUAUAAUAGGUUUAAUGAGAUAUAGUUCACAUACUAUACAGUUCAUCCAUUAAAAAUGUACAAUUCAAUUAUUUUUAAUAUAUUCACACAGUUGUGCAACCAUUACCACAAUCAAUUUCAGAACAUUUUCAUCACCCCAAAAAGAAACCCCGUAUCCAUUAGCAUUCACACCCUAUACUCCCUCAACCUCCUCAGUCCCAGGCAACCACUAAUCUACUUUCUGUCCCUGUAGAUUUGUCUAAUCUGGACAUUUCAUAUAAUAUGUAUGGUCUUUUGUGACUAGCUUCUUUCAUUUUGCAUGUUUUCAAGGUUCAUUCAUAUCACAGCAUAUAUUAAUAUUUCAUUCAUUUUUAUUGUUAAAUAAUGUUUCAUUAUAUGGACAUACCACAUUUUGUUGAUCCGUCUAUCAGUUGAUAGACACUUAGGUUGUUUCUACUUUUGUUUUUUUGUUUUUUUUUUUGAGAAGGAGUUUCACUCUCGUUGCCCAGGCUGGAGUGCAAUGGUG
rnacentral:lncRNA from 1 species